GACGAACCGUGCGAACGUUGUUCGGAAUCACUGGGCUUAAAGGGCGCGUAGGCGGGCUGACAGGUCUGGGGUGAAAUGCCGCGGCUCAACCGUGGAACUGCCUCAGAUACUGUCGGCCUCGAGGAAGGUAGGGGCAUGCGGAACUGUAGGUGGAGCGGUGAAAUGCGUUGAUAUCUACAGGAACUCCGGUGGCGAAAGCGGCGUGCUGGACCUUUUCUGACGCUGAGGCGCGAAAGCUAGGGGAGCAAACGGG
rnacentral:rRNA from 1 species